rnacentral:rRNA from 1 species
CUAUACGGAGUUACAAAAGAAAGUUAUAAAUGAAGCGGUCUGGAAAGGCCCGCCAAAGACGGUAACAGCCCGGUAGUUGAAAUGGCUUUCCCUCCAGAGUGGAUCCUGAGUACGGCGGAACACGUGAAAUUCCGUCGGAAUCCGGGAGGACCAUCUCCCAAGGCUAAAUACUCCCUAGUGACCGAUAGUGAACCAGUACCGUGAGGGAAAGGUGAAAAGCACCCCGGAAGGGGAGUGAAACAGUUCCUGAAACCGUGUGCCUACAAGUAGUUAGAGCCCGUUAAUGGGUGAUAGCGUGCCUUUUGUAGAAUGAACCGGCGAGUUACGAUUUGUUGCAAGGUUAAGCGGAAAAAGCGGAGCCGUAGCGAAAGCGAGUCUGAAUAGGGCGCAUAAGUAACAGGUCGUAGACCCGAAACCAGGUGAUCUACCCAUGUCCAGGAUGAAGGUAAGGUAAUACUUACUGGAGGUCCGAACCCACGCACGUUGAAAAGUGCGGGGAUGAGGUGUGGGUAGCGGAGAAAUUCCAAUCGAACUUGGAGAUAGCUGGUUCUCUCCGAAAUAGCUUUAGGGCUAGCCUCGAGGUAAAGAGUCAUGGAGGUAGAGCACUGUUUGGACUAGGGGCCCUUCUCGGGUUACCGAAUUCAGAUAAACUCCGAAUGCCAUGUACUUAUACUCGGGAGUCAGACUGCGAGUGAUAAGAUCCGUAGUCGAAAGGGAAACAGCCCAGACCACCAGUUAAGGUCCCCAAAUAUAUGUUAAGUGGAAAAGGAUGUGGGGUUGCUUAGACAACCAGGAUGUUGGCUUAGAAGCAGCCACCAUUGAAAGAGUGCGUAAUAGCUCACUGGUCGAGUGACCCCGCGCCGAAAAUGUACCGGGGCUAAACAUAUUACCGAAACUGUGGAUGAACCUCUUUAGAGGUUCGUGGUAGGAGAGCGUUCUAAGGGCGGUGAAGUCAGACCGGAAGGACUGGUGGAGCGCUUAGAAGUGAGAAUGCCGGUAUGAGUAGCGAAAGAAGGGUGAGAAUCCCUUCCACCGAAUAUCUAAGGUUUCCUGAGGAAGGCUCGUCCGCUCAGGGUUAGUCGGGACCUAAGCCGAGGCCGAUAGGCGUAGGCGAUGGACAACAGGUAGAGAUUCCUGUACCAGUGCUAAUUGUUUAACCGAUGGGGUGACACAGAAGGAUAGGGAAUCGCACGAAUGGAAAUGUGCGUCCAAGCAGUGAGUGUG